rnacentral:lncRNA from 1 species
UAUAACUGGAACUCUGGGAAUGUAACGGGCAUGGUGUGCUUGUCUGAUGGACAGGGCAGCUUAGGGGAAUAAGUCUCUGCAGCGUUGUAGUGAAGAGAGAAUACGGGACAACUGCAGGACCACAGCUCAGCCAAGAGACAACCACAUGACUGAAGACAGAGAUCAUCUGGGUCAGUGUUUCAGAAAAUGUUGCCAAGAAACUUCAAAUGCAGAUUCCUGGACCUCCGUGCAAACUACUAUAUUAGAAGUGAGAGUGGGGGUGAGAUGGAGGAGAGGUGAUAUUGAGAACCUGCAUUUUUUAAAACUUUUAUUUUAGUUUCAGGGGUACAUGUGAAGGUUUGUUAUAUAGGUAAGCUCAUGUCACGUGGGUUUGUUUUACAGAUUACUUCAUCACCCAUAUAUUAAGCCUAGUACCGAAUAGUUCCUUUUUCUGCUCCUCUCCCUCCUUCAACCCUCCAUGCUCAAACAGACCCCAGUGUCUGUUGUUCCCUUUAUGUUCAUGAGUUCUCAUCAUUUAUCUCUCACUUAUAAGUGAGAACAUGUAGUAUUUGGUUUUCUGUUCCUCUGCUCCCUUGCAGCUGAGUUGGCCAUAUGACUGACAGCAAGCCCUGGAAUGCAGCCAGAAGUGAUAGAAGCCUCUUUCACACCAUGCUCCUAAAAUAUUCCAAGAAAUUUUCCAAACCUACUCUUUUUAGUCUGUGCAUCUGGAAGUGAAAGUUUUAGAAAGGGUAAAGUCACUUAAUGGAAAGGGCCCAGAUCUAGCCCCUCGGAGCCAAGCUGUCCAACUAGAAAUUCUGCAUUAGUAUUUGCGAGCCCAGUAAAAAAAAAAAAGUCCCACAAAGAUGUAGGAUCUCACUUUGCCUGCGUUAAUUCCCUGUCCUUUGCCCAGUUUCUCCUCUCUUGGAAGGCAGAGGCAGCUUCUGAUUUUGAUCACUUCAUGUCCAGGGAGCUCAAGUGUUGCAAGUAUCUGCUUAAAAUGCCAUGUGAUGCUAAUCAUCUCUGCACGAGCAGUUCAUCUCAUCUCUCCAGUAAAUUGCUUAUCACAGUAAAAGGAGGACCUCCUGCUUCAGACUCUAAGCUUCCGGAGAACAGGAACUGCAUCUUUUCUAUUUCACAUACCCAACUCCUCACACAAUGCAUGAUGCAAGUGGGAAUCUACAUAAAAUAUCUGAUGGAUAAAUGGAGUAGCACUGAUGCAUAUGAGACCCAGUGUUAACCAGAGGAAGCAAUCAACUCCAAGAUCAACUGCCAAGAUAAAAACCAGGACCAAGGAAAGCUUCUGAGAUAAAAUGAUUUUUAAGAUUAACGUAGUGGAUAUUUCCAAUUGUUUUUUUUAUACCCUUCAUCUGAACAAUUGACAAUUCCAGCCCUCUUAAAAUGCCUUCCUGAGACAGUUCAAUGCUGCCAAAAGGCCAUUUCCCUAGGAUGACAAUCCCAGCUCCCCUUAAAAUGCCUUCCUGAGACAGUUCACUGCUGCCAAAUGAAUUUACUGUUUGUUCAGGCCAAAACCUGACUAUAAGCCCUGAGUCCCUUUCCUUACAGCAUGUACUUUAGAAAACUUGCAAUUGUAAAUUUUUUCUCUCUUCUUUUAAGAUGUACCUUCCACGACCCAGGACUGUCUUUCUCAACAACUUGGAAGCCAUCCCUUUGUAAUGUAAUGAUCAAGAAAAAUAGGGCCCAUGCCUACCUGUCUCCAUGGGAAGGAGAUCUUUGGAGAGAAAAUGCCAAGAGUGGAUGGAGAGGCAAUGGUGAAGCUGAGGCUGAAGUCGGAGGAAGCUGUGAACCCUGCAUGGGGUACCUGAACACCAGGGCAAGUUUCUGGCCCAGAAUGGCUUCUGGGAAAGGGGUGAG